CCUAGGGUCGCUGCAGUCACGAAAACUUUACAAUGCACGAAAGUGUGAUAAGGGAAUUCCAAGUGUCUAUUUAAAAUAGACUUUUGCCAAGUGUAAGUAACUUGGAGAAUAAGUGGUGGGCAAGACCGGUGCCAGCCGCCGCGGUAACACCGGCGCCACAAGUGGGGAUCAUAUUUAUUGGGUCUAAAGCGUCCGUAGCUGGUCUAAUAAGUUUCUUGUGAAAUUGUUAAGCCUAACUUAACAAACUGCAGGAAAAACUAUUAGUCUUGAGACCGGGAGGAGAUAAGAGUAUUCUAAGGGGAACGGUAAAAUGUUAUAAUCCUUAGAGGACUACCAAUGGCAAAGGCACUUAUCCAGAACGGGUCUGACAGUGAGGGACGAAGGCUAGGAUAACGAUAAGGAUUAGAUACCCGUGUAGUC
rnacentral:rRNA from 1 species